rnacentral:rRNA from 1 species
UACGGGGGGGGCAAGCGUUGUUCGGAAUUACUGGGCGUAAAGGGCUCGUAGGCGGCCAACUAAGUCGGACGUGAAAUCCCCAGGCUCAACCUGGGAACUGCGUCCGAUACUGGAUGGCUUGAAUCCGGGAGAGGGAUGCAGAAUUCCAGGUGUAGCGGUGAAAUGCGCAGAUAUCAGGAGGAACACCGGUGGCGAAGGCGGAUCUCUGGGCCAUUACUGACGCUGAGGAGCGAAAGCGUGGGGAGCAAACAGG